AUUGAACGCUGGCGGCAUGCUUUACACAUGCAAGUCGAGCGGUAACAGGGUGCUUGCACCGCUGACGAGUGGCGAACGGGUGAGUAAUGCGUCGGAACGUGCCGAGUAGUGGGGGAUAACGCAGCGAAAGUUGUGCUAAUACCGCAUACGUACUGAGGGAGAAAGUGGGGGACCGUCGGGCCUCACGCUAUUCGAGCGGCCGACGUCUGAUUAGCUAGUAGGUGAGGUAAAGGCUCACCUAGGCGACGAUCAGUAGCGGGUCUGAGAGGAUGAUCCGCCACACUGGGACUGAGACACGGCCCAGACUCCUACGGGAGGCAGCAGUGGGGAAUUUUGGACAAUGGGCGAAAGCCUGAUCCAGCCAUGCCGCGUGUCUGAAGAAGGCCUUCGGGUUGUAAAGGACUUUUGUCAGGGAGGAAAUCCCUAGUGCUAAUAACACUGGGGGAUGACAGUACCUGAAGAAUAAGCACCGGCUAACUACGUGCCAGCAGCCGCCGUAA
rnacentral:rRNA from 1 species